rnacentral:rRNA from 1 species
CUACGGGGUGCAGCAGUGGGGAAUAUUGCACAAUGGGGGAAACCCUGAUGCAGCAACGCCGCGUGGAGGAUGACGCAUUUCGGUGUGUAAACUCCUUUUAUUUAGGAAGAAAUUUGACGGUACUAAAUGAAUAAGCACCGGCUAACUCCGUGCCAGCAGCCGCGGUAAUACGGAGGGUGCAAGCGUUACUCGGAACCACUGGGCGUAAAGGAUGCGUAGGCGGUUUGAUAAGUUGGAUGUGAAAUCCUAUGGCUUAACCAUAGAACUGCAUCCAAAACUGUCAGACUAGAGUGAGGGAGAGGUGAAUGGAAUUAGUGGUGUAGGGGUAAAAUCCGUAGAGAUCACUAGGAAUACUCAUAGCGAAGGCGAUUCACUGGAACUUUACUGACGCUGAGGCGUGAAAGCAUGGGGAGCAAACAGGAUUAGAUACCCGCGUAGUC